AAAGAAACAAACCCUGGAUUUCCGUGUCCAACGUUUGACUGUCCGUCUUAUAUGAAAUUUUUUUAUAAUUAGUAUUUUCAUUGUUGUUAGAUGAUAAAACAUGAUUAAUACUUUAUGCGUGACUCAUCUUUUUAAUUUUUUUCAUAUGUUUUUUAAAUAAGACAGAUGGACAAACUGGACAUGAAAACCCAGGGUUUCAAAUAAG
rnacentral:pre_miRNA from 1 species